rnacentral:rRNA from 1 species
AGUGAACGCUGGCGGUAGGCCUAACACAUGCAAGUCGAACGGCAGCACAGUAAGAGCUUGCUCUUACGGGUGGCGAGUGGCGGACGGGUGAGGAAUACAUCGGAAUCUACUUUUUCGUGGGGGAUAACGUAGGGAAACUUACGCUAAUACCGCAUACGACCUACGGGUGAAAGCAGGGGAUCUUCGGACCUUGCGCGAUUGAAUGAGCCGAUGUCGGAUUAGCUAGUUGGCGGGGUAAAGGCCCACCAAGGCGACGAUCCGUAGCUGGUCUGAGAGGAUGAUCAGCCACACUGCAACUGAGACCAGGUCCAGACACCUACGGGAGGCAGCGGUGGGAAAUAUUGGACAAUGGGCGCAAGCCUGAUCCAGCCAUACCGCGUGGGUGAAGAAGGCCUUCGGGUUGUAAAGCCCUUUUGUUGGGAAAGAAAAGCAGCAGGUUAAUACCCCGCUGUUCUGACGGUACCCAAAGCAUAAGCACCGGCUAACUUCGUG